GCCAGACUCCUACGGGAGGCAGCAGUGGGGGAUAUUGCACAAUGGGGGGAACCCUGAUGCAGCGACGCCGCGUGGGUGAAGGAGCGUUUCGGCGCGUAAAGCCCUAUCGGCAGGGAAGAAGGAGGACGGUACCUGACUAAGAAGCCCCGGCUAACUACGUGCCAGCAGCCGCGGUAAUACGUAGGGGGCAAGCGUUAUCCGGAUUUACUGGGUGUAAAGGGGGCGCAGACGGCAGCGCAAGCCAGGAGUGAAAGCCCAGGGCCCAACCCCGGGACUGCUCUUGGAACUGCGCGGCUGGAGUGCAGGAGGGGCAGGCGGAAUUCCUGGUGUAGCGGUGAAAUGCGUAGAUAUCAGGAGGAACACCGGUGGCGAAGGCGGCCUGCUGGACUGCGACUGACGUUGAGGCCCGAAAGCGUGGGGAGCAAACAGGAUUAGAUACCCCUGUA
rnacentral:rRNA from 1 species